rnacentral:rRNA from 1 species
UACGUAGGGUGCGAGCGUUAAUCGGAAUUACUGGGCGUAAAGCGCACGUAGGCGGAUUGGAAAGUUGGGGGUGAAAUCCCGGGGCUCAACCCCGGAACUGCCUUCAAAACUCCCAGUCUGGAGGUCGAGAGAGGUGAGUGGAAUUCCGAGUGUAGAGGUGAAAUUCGUAGAUAUUCGGAGGAACACCAGUGGCGAAGGCGGCUCACUGGCUCGAUACUGACGCUGAGGUGCGAAAGCGUGGGGAGCAAACAGG